rnacentral:rRNA from 1 species
UACGUAGGGGGCUAGCGUUGUCCGGAUUUAUUGGGCGUAAAGAGCGUGUAGGCGGCCAGAUAGGUCUGCUGUGAAAACUCGAGGCUCAACCUCGAGCUGUCGGCGGAAACCAUCCGGCUAGAGUCCGGAAGAGGAGAGUGGAAUUCCCGGUGUAGCGGUGAAAUGCGCAGAUAUCGGGAGGAACACCGGUGGCGAAGGCGGGUCUCUGGGCAGUAACUGACGCUGAGGAGCGAAAGCGUGGGGAGCGAACAGG